UACGUAGGGCGCAAGCGUUGUCCGGAAUUAUUGGGCGUAAAGAGCUCGUAGGCGGUCUGUUGCGUCUGCUGUGAAAACUCGGGGCUUAACCCCGAGCCUGCAGUGGAUACGGGCAGACUAGAGGUAGGUAGGGGAGAAUGGAAUUCCCGGUGUAGCGGUGAAAUGCGCAGAUAUCGGGAGGAACACCGGUGGCGAAGGCGGUUCUCUGGGCCUUACCUGACGCUGAGGAGCGAAAGCGUGGGGAGCGAACAGA
rnacentral:rRNA from 1 species